CUCUCUGCGUUCCUCAGCUCUGUUGGAGGUGGGCGAUCUCGUGGUGGUCGCUGUGAACAAAAGGUCAGCGACCGUCCAGUGGGCGUGGCAGAAGAAGUCCACCUCAGACAAAGUGGGCAGUUACCGACUAGAGCUGAUGGGAGUCUCGCUGAGGCAACAGAAGCCCCACGUUCUGUUGCUGUGGCCGGACGACGCUCACCGUCACACGUUCACCAGCCUGUCGCCUAACACCCAGUAUUAUCUCCACCUACUGGCGGGCGACGAUUCCAAGGA